UAAUAUUUUGGCAGGUUUUCAAUAAGUAGGUACAAAAACUGCAUUACGCCCAAUUUAUUCCUCGAUUAAACGUCACUCGACGUUGGUGAAAUGGACGCUUAACUGAAUACAU